GUCGAACGGACAGGUAAUGAAACCUAGUGAUUUAUCUGUUAGUGGCGGACCGGUGAGUAACGCGUGGGUAACCUGCCGUAUACAGGGGGAUAACACUUAGAAAUAGGUGCUAAAACCGCAUAAGCGCACAGGAUCGCAUGGUCCGGUGUGAAAAACUCCGGUGGUAUACGAUGGACCCGCGUCUGAUUAGCUUGUUGGCGGGGUAGAGGCCCACCAAGGCGACGAUCAGUAGCCGGCCUGAGAGGGUGAACGGCCACAUUGGGACUGAGACACGGCCCAAACUCCUACGGGAGGCAGCAGUGGGGAAUAUUGCACAAUGGGGGAAACCCUGAUGCAGCGACGCCGCGUGAGUGAAGAAGUAUUUCGGUAUGUAAAGCUCUAUCAGCAGGAAAGAAAAUGACGGUACCUGACUAAGAAGCCCCGGCUAACUACGUGCCAGCAGCCGCGGUAAUACGUAGGGGGCAAGCGUUAUCCGGAUUUACUGGGUGUAAAGGGAGCGUAGACGGUGAAGCAAGUCUGAAGUGAAAGGCGGGGGCUCAACCCCCGGACUGCUUUGGAAACUGUUUGACUGGAGUGCAGGAGAGGUAAGUGGAAUUCCUAGUGUAGCGGUGAAAUGCGUAGAUAUUAGGAGGAACACCAGUGGCGAAGGCGGCUUACUGGACUGUAACUGACGUUGAGGCUCGAAAGCGUGGGGAGCAAACAGGAUUAGAUACCCUGGUAGUCCACGCGGUAAACGAUGAUCACU
rnacentral:rRNA from 1 species